AACGUAGGACACAAGCGUUAUCCGGAAUUACUGGGCGUAAAGCGCACGUAGGCGGCGAUUCAAGUCAGAGGUGAAAGCCCGGGGCUCAACCCCGGAACUGCCUUUGAAACUAGAUUGCUAGAAUCUUGGAGAGGUCAGUGGAAUUCCGAGUGUAGAGGUGAAAUCGUAGAUAUUCGGAAGAACACCAGUGGCGAAGGCGACUGACUGGACAAGUAUUGACGCUGAGGUGCGAAAGCGUGGGGGAGCAAACAGG
rnacentral:rRNA from 1 species